rnacentral:rRNA from 1 species
AGCUAGACUCCUACGGGAGGCAGCAGUGGGGGAUAUUGCACAAUGGAGGAAACUCUGAUGCAGCGACGCCGCGUGAGGGAAGACGGUCUUCGGAUUGUAAACCUCUGUCUUUGGGGAAGAAAAUGACGGUACCCAAAGAGGAAGCUCCGGCUAAAUACGUGCCAGCAGCCGCGGUAAUACGUAUGGAGCAAGCGUUAUCCGGAUUUACUGGGUGUAAAGGGAGCGCAGGCGGCCUUGCAAGUCUGAUGUGAAAGGCCGAGGCCCAACCCCGGGACUGCAUUGGAAACUGCGAGGCUGGAGUGUCGGAGAGGCAGGCGGAAUUCCUAGUGUAGCGGUGAAAUGCGUAGAUAUUAGGAGGAACACCAGUUGCGAAGGCGGCUCUCUGGACUGUAACUGACACUGAGGCACGAAAGCGUGGGGAGCAAACAGGAUUAGAUACCCUUGUAG